GGGGAUGACAGGCUUCGAUAGAUGGAUUCUGUUAUCUUGUAUAUGCAUGUCAGAGUGCCUACCUCUGUAACAAAUAGGCAAUCCACAAGUGCAAACUUGUUCGAGCGAGCUAAAAAUACUGUAGCGAAAGCUUUCAGUGUACCUAGCUUUGCUUCUGUUGUAGCCUAAAUCACUACGACCAUCGCACCUAUAAUACUCGAUAGUCGGCCCGCGGUGCCAACCCUAGCUCGAGUGUAGACCAACUCUGUUCGUGUGGGAGUUAGUUGAAACCAUUCAUGCGAUAGCAUACGAUAUUUUUCGAUGUUUCAUAUUCGUAUGCGAAACACCAAAUAUCGAUACACAUGUAGAGUAUCGGGGUAACCCGUCUAGACCCGGGUUCGACUCCCGGCAUCUCCACUA
rnacentral:tmRNA from 1 species